AGUAAUACAUCGGAACAUACCCUAGGGUGGGGGAUAACGUAGCGAAAGUUACGCUAAUACCGCAUACGCACUAAGGUGGAAAGCAGGGGAUCGCAAGACCUUGCGCUCAUGGAGUGGCCGAUGUCAGAUUAGCUAGUUGGUGGGGUAAAGGCCUACCAAGGCAACGAUCUGUAGCUGGUCUGAGAGGACGACCAGCCACACUGGAACUGAGACACGGUCCAG
rnacentral:rRNA from 1 species